UGCCCGGGUUUUACCGCAUACCGGAAAAGUACAAGCGUUAUCAAAAUAAUGCGUUACCACAUGUCUUGAGAAUUAUUGUAAAAUUGGAAUAAACUACAGUGUGUCAUUCAUAAAAAACUGUUGGAAAUAGUUGUUUGAGUGAUAUUUCAUAUUCCGAGGAUAACUAUAAGUGGAGAAAGUAAAAACUAAGUUGGAUAUAUUGGAUUUAUCUUAACGCAAGAGACAGGGUCUACAUGUAUAUACAUCAGUUUUGUCCAGUGUAAAAGUCGGCGCAAUGAAGAUAUAGAUGCAUGUUUCGCCUGUCUUAAAAAUAAGCCCAUAGCCUUCUGCGCUUGACCAGAGAGAGUCUUCUGACAUUCUACCCACGAUCCUCCUGAGGUCAAAACCACUCCGAGAUUUACUAGAUGCAGUCCCAUCAUGAGAGAUGUUGUUCGAAUAUUUCCCAAAUAAUGGUUCACUGACAGACUCGAUGUAAGUGCAGAGUUGGUUGACACACAUGUCUAUCUCUUCACCUGACGUAGAUGCUUCAAUAUUAUACACAAGGUCGACCUCCACCCUGGUUGGUAGACGUCGUAGCAGCCUGCGACGUUUUCCUUGGUGGCCGUGUACUGGCUGAGCGGACUCUCUGAGGGUUUCCAGUCCAAUAUGCUCGCGCACGGGUUCUACCACGUUGGGUCGAUUUACCAGCUACUUUAGAACUAGCGUUACUCGCGGACUGUGUUGGCUGUGAGCUGCUAUUCGUGCCGGCGACUUGUUGAGGCUGUGAUAGUUGUGAGGCAUUACCCUGGGAGCGGGUACUACCAGCUUGUUUCCAGUCGAAGAAGACCGGCGAUAGUUCCUCGUGGAGCCGUAUUCGCUGACGAUUUCGGUGCGACGGGCUGGUCUGUAGACGCGUGCGUGUACACCGGUCUACUUAGCAAUCGGCUCCACCCCGGAAAUUCACCUCUAACCACUUCACCAUUGACUACUACCGCCGCCGGAUACUUUAGCUGAACUCUAACUGAACGAUUCUCCGCUCGCAGCCUCUUAAACGUGGGCCACACACGUUUUCUUGCCUGUCUGACUUCGUCUGGAUAAUCCCGGUCGAUUGCAUAGCGACUACCAGCAAGAUAUUUUGUAUUUUUCAUCACAGUGUCAACCUCAUAGCCAUAUCUAAACGUGACUACGAUCGGACGUCUUAGUGGGCCAUUGGAGUUACGCCGAUUAAUAUUACCCAAACGUUCGGUAUUAUCAAUGUAAAAGUCAUUAGCAUUCAGAUUCAUGUUUGUGUACAUGAAAUCAUUGAUCACCUCAUAAUUGUCUUUGCAUGGAACUUCAUCAAGACCAUAGAUGAGAAGAUUUCUCUUACGCUCACGUGUUUCUAAAUCAAUGACUUUGUAGGUUAAUGACAACAUUUUAUCAUCUUGGUCAUCUAGUCUUUUAUUACAAUCACUGGCUGAUUUUGUCAAAUCAUUUAUACUGUUUUGGUUUUGUUCAACAACAUCAAGUUUUGAGAAUAAAGCAAUAAGUUUA